AAUGUCGAAGAAAUACUGCAGCGUGGAGGGAUGCAAGCGAAAGAAUGUGACUUUACAUGUUCUUCCUAGCAACGUUACAAUUCGAGACCAGUGGUUACUCUUCGUUUUUUCUGAAGGGCCGGAGUGUUCCAGGAAAAAUGUGUUGGUUUGCUCGGCUCAUUUUACCACCGACUGCUUCCUCAAUUUACAACAGUACAACGCUGGGUUCAGCAAGAGAUUAGUCCUUAAGGAUGGAGCAGUCCCCACACUCCAAGAUUCUCAACCAGGUACAUCACAGCAGACAUUGACCACCCAUAAACACUUGGGGACCCAAACAGACCCUCCAGCUACAAGACCUGUUGCUACACAAAUUUCCAAGGGAACUCUGAAGGAACAUGUGAGAAGCAAAGGCACGCAGGCCUCAGUGACUUGCAGAAACAUAGGGGUUGGCUCCAGCACCUUUCUCCACACAUUUGGGGAGUCUACAAAGUCUUCAAAACUAGUCAGAGGGAAUGUCAGCUUUGUCCAAGGCAAAAGACCAGCCAAAAGACCACGUGUCGAGACACUGGAGGAUGAGGCUGUAUCUUUUGCCAUUCUUGAGCCUCACGACUCGACAUACAACCUGCAACACUCUGUGACUGCUGUUACAGAUACAUCACAAAUUUAGUAAAUGUGCUUUAAAUGUCUGUUUUUUUUGGGCAAGUAAAACAGGUCAUUCACAUUUGAUAGUUGAAUAUGUUUCAGAUUGUAUUUUCAAAAGAGAAAUUGAUUUGAAAAUAUAAAUGUAACAAUAUACUAAACACAGAUCCUCUCAAAGCCCUUCCUAUGGUGAAAAAUAAUACAUCAUCUAUUGAAGCUGCCUCUUCAAGCUCUUUGAGAACUGCCCAGUCUGCCAACGGGUGUGUGAAAUCACCCCAAGAAGCCGAGGAACUUUCGUGGCCAUUGAUCAACUCUGCAGACACUGCAGCUUCUUUAGACAAUGGAAGAGUCCCAGUUUUUGGAAGCACCCCUGCGGGGAACAUUCACCUGUCUGCUGCAAUUUCUUUCUUCCAACUGGAGAAGAUAUUUAAGGCAAUGCACAUCGGUGUCUUUCAAAACGACACAUUUCGAAGACAUGCACGUAUGUACCUGGAACCCAGUAUCAUCCAUAAAUGGAAGAUAGGCCAGGAGGUGCUUCUGCAACAGCUAAGCCAAAAAGACAGCAUCUUCAUUGGAGUGGACAUGAGGACGGACUCACUCGGACACCCUACAAAGUAUGGCAGCUACAGUUUGAUGCACCUAGAGAGAAAUACAAUAAUUGACAUCCAACUGGUGCAGGCGAGAUACAUUGGUCCUACAUUUUCCACAUAAAAUAUGAUCAGAACAAUGAAGUUUGCGGGAGUAACCACAUGGAGCGUGAGGGCCUAAAAAGGAGCCUAGAACACCUUGCAGAAAAUGGUAUAACAUUUGACUACCUAGUCACCGACCGCCACCCACAAGUCCAGAAAUACCUAAAAGACAAUGACAUCAAGCAUUUUUAUGACAUCUGGCAUCUUGAAAAGGGUGAGGUUUUGUGUAUGCUUAUGUUUUUGAUGAAAUAAGAUGUCUUUUGUAUGGUUAUUUGUGAGUUCACGUGUCAUAUUUAUCUACUGGUCCCUUUAAGAACCUUUACAAUUUAACAAGGCUUAUCAAAGAAGCUUGACAAGAUAUCAAAGGACAAAGACUGCCAACUCCUAAAGUAGUGGCAGCAAAGUAUCAAGAACCAUGUGUACUGGACUGCUACAUCUUCAAGCUCUGGUCCAGAGCAAGUGGUGAGGUGGCUGUCUCUUGUAAAUCACCUCCAAGAUGUCCAAACACAUGAAGACCUGUUCUUCCCGAGUUGUGAACCGCCAGUGACACCAACAACUACCCGGAGCAAGUGGUUUGAGCCAGGUUCACAAUCACUCUACAAAGUAGAGAAGGCCCUGCUAAACAAGAGGGUCCUGAAGGACGGGGAGAAGUUGAGCCUGCAACACCAGACUUCAUCUUUGGAGGCGUUUCAUAGUGUUAUCCUAUCGUUUGCCCCAAAAAAUGUUGUCUUCCCAUUCAUGCUUUGCAGAUCCUGGGUCCAGCAGCCACAUCUUGGAUUAUGAUGGGGGUUCGCAUAUCGUGUUGGCAUCUGAUAGUGGUGGAGGACCACGAUCGAGGUGGCAGCUGAUGGUGGAUCCUGACGGCAGCAGUGGAUCAUGAUUGUGUACUAUGGUGCCAUCCGAUCGUGAUGGUUGAUCCUGAUCGUGGUGGCUAACGACCAUGGAUUAUGAUUACAACAAGACUGCUUGAUAUACAAUAUUUCUCCUCAGAUACCCGAACAUUACUGACAAUAAUCAAUCAAUUAAUUUACCUUCCAUUAUGCUACAAAGGGUUUAUUCUAAUCAAUGCUGCAAGUACUCUUAUUUUUCUGAGGUUAUCAAUUACACUUGCAAUCGAUUGCACUUCUGUCAGUACUGGGAAAGGGAUCCGACACAUUUGGCUCUCUCUGAGGGUUGUUAAAGCCCUAUGAGACAAAUUUUGAUUUCUGAAUAUGGGCUAUACAAAUAAAAUUUGAUUGAUUGACACAAGGGAAUUAAUACCCUCACUUUUCUGCUCAGAUGGCCCCAGCACCAGCUGACAAAACUUCUGUAUGACAGAUGCCUGUAACAACUGAAAGGUGGGGAGCAAACAGUUAUUGCACUUUGUUGAUUGAACAUCAGGACCUCACUGCAGUGAAGUUUGUGUUAUUACAUUUUUAAUUUUUUUAUUCAAAGAUUUGUAUGCACAGCACUGUGUGAUGCUUGCAAGUUGCUGUGUAAGUUCUGUAAUAAAUACAUUUUCUACUAA